CGGCAUAUGGAAGUUACCAGGCUAGGGGAUGAAUCGGAGCAGGACCUGCCAGCCUACAGCACAACAAUACCAGAUCCAAGCCGCAUCUGCGACCUGUGCUGCACCUUGUGGCAAUGCUGGAUCCUUAACCCACUGAGCAAGGCCAGGCAGGGAUUGAAACAACAUCCUCACAGAUACUAGUUGGGUUCUUAACCUGCUGAGCCACAACGGAAACUCCAAAAUUGACACUUCUGAAUAAGGAAUGUCCUGAUACAUGUGUUUUCAAAUUAUUUGAAAAUUAACUAUUGAAAACCCUUCUCAUAUCAGCUCGUUUUGUGAGAAAUAUUCUCCAAGUGACCUAUUUUUGCCUUAAUGGGCUAUGGCGACCUUAACUAUUUCUCUGAGAUCUAAAGUUCUUUGAAGGACUUAGAAUUCUGAUUCUUAGUCUCAAUGCUACUGUUCAGAUGUAUGGAUGUGGAAUUGAAGAUGGUGCAGAAUAUGUGCUGAGUUUAUACAUCACCCUUCUCCUUGAUUUUUGUUUAUCUAACAGUGUUACAAUAAAGAAGAUAGUAGAGAAAAUAGAAAGUAGACUACUAUUCCACCAUGUUAACAAAUUCAACAAAAUACUUUCUUCCCUGCCAGAUCUUGUUCAGUUAAUGUAUAUAUUUCCUGUAUAUUGGUUAUCAUGGUGUGAAUGUAAUUUUAUUCAAGGUUUUUUUCUGCUUAGCAUAGCAUAACCCAUCCUAGAUUUUCAAACUAAACAUCCUUCACAUGAAUGGUUUCUUGUGAUUUUUUUCCUCCCACUUUGUCCUAAAAAUAGAGUGCAAGAGGGGAAAUCAUGUUAAUUGAGGGUUCUGGUUAAUUGAAGUUUUUACUAUAAUUACCCAUUAUAAAAAUGAAGGGUUUGGGCAGAGAAUAGAUGCAUAGUCUUGGGCAUAUCUAAUUAUUACCUUGGCUUGUAAAUAGCCCUUUGGUGAAAAAUUGCUGUUUUAGAAAGAUGCUCAUUUCAGAAUUCCCUUUCAUAAAGCAACAAAGACAAUUAUCUUCAGUUCUCACUUGAGAGUCCAUAUACAUGAAAGGUAAUGUUGCCUGUGCCUUUUUCCCUAUUGAUUAGUGUUUUCAUUCAGCAGGGAGUAAAGAGGACAGAAUGGAUCAAAUUGUGACCGCAUUGGUUUCUCUUAACAUUGGCUCACUCGCUCUCUCUCUCUCUCCCCCCUCCCCCAACCUUUUGAUGUAAGCAGAAAACACAUAAAGUCAAGUUGGCUAUUUUUUAAACUCAAGGGUGAUGUAUAUACAUUCAAGUUGCAGUCAUGGCCAAACGAGGGUUUUUAAAAAGAACAAUCUUCUUUGUGGCCACUAGAGGGUAUCGUAGACCUAACAAUCCUGUUUUGUUUCUAGUCCUUUCUUUUUCUUAGUCUCUAGGCACCAUCAUGUUUGUUGUGAAGUGGCCAGAACUUAGUAAGACUUUGUUGCUUACCACCCACCUCACUAGACUGUUCUCAGCUUUGUUGUCUUAACAGGUCACACUUCACCAAUACAAGUACUACCAGCAGGGACUCAUGCCUAUGGGGAUAACACAGUAAAAUUUUUUCAGGUGUGGUCUCAGAAAGAAAUUGUGUUAGAAAACUCCUCUGAGGACAAUAUAAUAAAACUGCCUGAUAAAGAAUCAGCUCUUGAACCUUCACUGUGACACCUGGGAGACAAGUUAUCUCAACCUUUGUUUAAGAUGCAAAAAGUACUCUGAAUUCUUUGUACAACUAUGACCAGAUUUCCAGUCUUUGAAAAAGAAGGGCAGAAGAUGACAAGGAAUGAACAGAUAACCGAAUGUAACUCGCCCUUUUCCAAUAAGAAACUUCCUGGGAAGGUGAUGGACGAAGGGAUUGUUGCAUUGGUUCCUCCCAGGCAAGACCACUCCAGAGGAACAACUUCAAGACCAGCAGGACUGGAGUUCCCAUUGUGGCUCAGCAGAAAUGAAUCUAACUAGCAUCCAUGAGAACGCAGGUUUGAUCCCAGCCCUUGCUCAGUGGGUUAAGGAUCCGGCGUUGCCAUGAGCUGUGGUGUAGGUCGAAGAUGCGGCUCAGAUCCCGUGUUGCCAUGGCUGUGGUGUGGGCCAGCAGCUGCGGCUCCAGUUGGACCUCUAGCCUGGGAACCUCCAUAUGCCUCAGGAGCAGCCCUAAAAAGACAAAAAAAAAAAAAAAAAAAAAAAAAAAAAAAAAAAAAAAAGAUCAGUAGGACUGCCUAAACCUAAGGCAGCUUCCUGGAGAAGCCUAUAGGUCCCAGGAGAAUCCUGUUGUCUUGUGUGAAGCAACCACCUUUGGGAAUCUUGCUGGAAAGGAUUACAUUUCCUAGCUCCCUUUGCUCCUUGAAAGUCGAGAAGCUGUUACACAGAGGAUUGGUCAUCUGCAGGCUUGUGGCCCUAAUUGUCUGAUCUUGGCAAUUUAAGAAAGUCCUUUAUGAACAAACUUAAAUGAUGCUUCACAAUUUCAGUUUUCCAUUUGGGGAUGCUCUGGUGGCAGAGGUUAGGCUGAAGGGUUCUCACAGAAGCAUAGAGAAGACCCAGAAAAGGCAGGUUCAUAUCAGACCUGGGUUGGGCAGAACAUUAGUAAGAAAAUAAUUACCUGCCCAUGCUCACAAUAUAAUCAUUAAUUGCGGGGGAGAGGAAAAAGGGGGAUGUAAAAGUAAAUGGGAAGGGAACCCCAGAAUGUAAAAUUUUUUCUACAGUUUGAAAACAUUAAACACUUGCAUACUCUCAUAUUCAUUUCAAGAUAGGAAGGAAUACGCCCAAACAGAAUGUAUUUAACAGUGGUGAUAUCUUGCUAGUGGGAUUACAUGUGCUUUUAAUUUUUUGAAUCUCUCAUAUUUCCAAAUUUUGGAUAGGAAAAUAUUAAAAACUCAGAAAAUCAAAAAUUAUGACAAUUGGGAGAAGUGUUAUAUUUACGUCAUGUAUCAAUAUUGAAUGAUAAGCAAAGAGCAGAACCAUGCCUGUGAUAUGCUACCAUUCAUGUCAUAAAGGGAGCAAAUAAUAUAUGUUAUUUGGAUAUGUAUAAGUUAUCCCAGGAAAAUUAAGCAGAAAUCAGUUGCAGGGGAUUGGGAACUGCCUUGUGGGAGACAGGGGUGGGAUAGGGCUUUUCACUCAUAAACCCUUUUAUACUUUAUUUUUUAUCUAGUCCCAAUGUAAAAAGUUUUUUAAAUACAGUGUAUCUUCCCCUCUUCUUGUCGGGUCAAGGCUCCCUGCGAACUGUCAGAAACCACAUCAUUAUACGUGAACUCUGCAUUUACCAUUUCAAACAUGCUCAGCAUGAUCCACAGUAGGUAGAAUGCCUGCACGAUACCACACACCGUGCCAUGUGGUGCUAUUUAUCUAAAGUCCCCCUUGUCAAAUGCAUAUCCUCAUUUAGAGCCAAAAUUAAAAUGAAUAAUUU
rnacentral:lncRNA from 1 species